GUUUGGUCCACUGCAUGCUUUAGGAUCUGCACUACAUUCACGGUGACAGUCACAUCGGUAGUGACAGGAAUGUAAUAAAAUGACAGAGAAAAGAAUAACAGACAUAAGAUCCUUUUUCAGUAGCCUACACCAAAACGCUGAGCAAAGGAGACAGAAAGAACUGAGGAACAGGGAGACCAGGC